GUCAUAGUGAAGCUUGUCUCCUGCUCCAGAGACACCUUCAGGCAUUCCAACCCUGGAGCCAUGAGAAGUGACAUUUGAGCUGAUACAUGAAAGACAAAGAAGAGAAAGCAGGAUUUAUUUAAAGGACCACAAAAAAAGCCCAAGUGACUAG